rnacentral:rRNA from 1 species
UACGUAGGUGGCAAGCGUUGUCCGGAAUCACUGGGCGUAAAGCGCGCGCAGGCGGCGAUCUACGUCUGGGGUGAAAGCCCGGAGCUCAACUCCGGGACUGCCUUGGAUACGGGAUCGCUUGAGGAUUGGAGAGGCAAGGGGAAUUCCACGUGUAGCGGUGAAAUGCGUAGAUAUGUGGAGGAACACCUGCGGCGAAGGCGGGUUGCUGGGCUGACACUGACGCUGAGGCGCGAAAGCCAGGGGAGCGAACGGG